rnacentral:rRNA from 1 species
AACGAACGCUGGCGGCAGGCUUAACACAUGCAAGUCGAGCGCCCCGCAAGGGGAGCGGCAGACGGGUGUGUAACGCGUGGGAAUCUACCCAUCUCUACGGAAUAACGCAUGGAAACGUGUGCUAAUACCGUAUACUUACUUCGGGAGAAAGAUUUAUCGGAGAUGGAUGAGCCCGCGUUGGAUUAGAAAGUUGGAGGGGUAAAGGCCUACCAAGGCGACGAUCGAUAGCUGGUCUGAGAGGAUGAUCAGCCACACUGGGCCUGGGACACGGCCCAGACUCCUACGGGAGGGAGCAGUGGGGAAUAUUGGACAAUGGGCGCAAGCAUGAUCCAGCCAUGCCGCGUGAGUGAUGAAGGCCGUAGGGUUGUAAAGCUCUUUCACCGGUGAAGAUAAUGACGGUAACCGGAGAAGAAGCCCCGGCUAACUUCGUGCCAGCCGCCGCCGUAACAC